UGAUUGGUUGUUUACAGAAAC
rnacentral:piRNA from 1 species